GACUCUUAAUCCAUUACAACUCUAAAUGAAGUUCUACUUUUACUGUCACGCCCCGAUCCUCAGGCACGCACACAUCCGUCUCACUUGGUCGAUUUUAUAAUGCGAUAUCCCAGGACAAUGUAUCGCCGACCCUUUCAUUUUUAAGCACAUGCGGAAGCAGUUAAAAUCCCCAGACAAUAAAACGAUGGGAUAGAAAAGCAGGGGCCAUAUUUUUCAUAUUGAAAUUUAUAACCAAACUUUUAUACAAACCACAAACCAGAACACUUCACAACUUUUUAUUCUAAACUCUAUUCACAUCAAAAUGGAGAUAUCAAAGAAGAUAAAAUUUCAGUCCAUCUAGGCCGUACUCACGGCCCCUCUCGAGAUUGUCUUCUUCUCCCAAAAUCCUUCUCCAACUCUUCCUCCUCAGCUCCUUAGCGGGGUCCUGAAAUGGUUUUCCCCAAACUGGGAUGAGACUACGUCUCAGCGAGUUCUACCCCACUAAGCCCGAUUAGUGAACCAUUAUACUAAGGCUGCCUAAACACGCAUAGGUCAGAAGACGUACCUUAGCAUCAGAUCCUACCUGCAAGUCAGUACAAUUCAUAAUAGGCACUCAAACAGUCAUAUCACUGAUCGAAGCAUCGAUCAAAUCGACAUAGUCGAUUUCAUGCUAACAAGACCACUCACGGUCAUUUCCAUUCAGUCAAUCAAUUCACAACCUCAAAUCAAAACAAUUAUCAAUCGAUCUAGUUGAUUACAUGUCAGAUGGACCAUUCUAGGUCAAUACUCUCGGGCGCCAAGCUCACCAAUGGGAUUUAUCCACUAGACAAUUGCGUGCGUUCUUUAAGGCGCCGUUUUCGCCAGUGACAUCCUUAGUCACCGAACCACACAUGCCUAUAACCAUGUACUCAAACAGACAAUUGUGUGUGUUCUUUAAGGCGCCGUUUUCGCCAGUGAUAUCUCCAAUCACCGAACCACACAUGCCUAUGAUAAUGUAUUUAAUAGACAAGUGUAUGCGUUCUUUAAGGCGCCGUUUUCGCCAGUGAUGUCCUUAGUCACCGAACCAUACAUGUCUAUAACAAUACGAGUACUAGACCGAUACGUGCGUUCUUUAAGGCGCCGUUUUCGCCAGUGAUAUCCCCAAUCACCGAACCACGUAGGUCCACAAUAAUGUAUGUACUAGACCGAUACGUGCGUUCUUUAAGGCGCCGUUUUCGCCAGUGAUAUCCCAAUCACCGAACCACGUAGGUCUAUACACUGUGUCUGAUUGGUUCAAUCCCAGAGUAUUUCCAAUUCUCUCAUAACCCCAUCCACUUUACAACUCAAUCAAAGCAUUAUAAAUGCUAAACAAACAUACUCAGCCAUCUACCAAUCAAUCAUUCAAUCUCAAUCAAUUCCAAAUCAAUUUAGGGUAAAUCCCUAAAAUAUCACAAUUUAUUUAAUUCCAUACAACGUAGAGCUCAAAUAAAUAAACGAACUGCGCCACGACGAUCACACGAGAUUUCGUCGUCGCCAUCAAAAUCUUAAUUUCGAAAAUAUAUAUAUAUUUCGAAAUAUAUAUAUAAAAUUAAUUAAUAAUUAUUAAAAAAUUCAAUUUAGCACAAACUAAAACUCAAUUAAACAAACGGACUUCACCACGGUCAUCAGCAUAAUUUUCCGGUUCCAGGCCAUCUCAGUUGAAUUUUCGGAAAAUAAAUAAUUAUUUAAUUUAAUUUCGAAAAAUAAUAUUUAAAUGCCAAAAAUCCCACUUAGGCCCGAAUCGUCAAAUUGAAGCCCGAUUUGGCGUCGGAAAAUUCCCGAGAUGCUUCCAAUAAAUAGUAGACCACGUCUACUUGUUAAUUGCACAAUCAAUUUAUUUAAAUCGCAUCACAAUUGACUAAUAAUUGCGGGGGGGCUUCUAAUCUAACAACCUAAACAUAAUUAAUUAAAACUAAACCAACCUAAAGCAUAAUUAGCCAACUAAUCAUGGAUUAGUGAGAUUACUCACCAAAUCGCCCGCAAAUCGGAUCAAUCCGACGGCGGCGACGCGAUGAACGAUUGUUCCCAAAGCACGGCUCGGGUUCGGGGCCGGGAAACGGCCCAAAAGCGGGCCCGAAGUCGCUGAAACCCACUCCGUGGGUCUGCUGGACGGAGCCGAUCGGGCCUGCUCCGGCGGCUAGGGUGGCGAGGGAAGGCCGGCGGAGGGCGAGGGAGUCACGGGGGAGGUCCGGCGGGGCUAGGCGGUGGCCCACGGUGGCCGGAGGGUGGCUGGUCGGUGCAGAACAGAGGCGGAACAGGGCUGGUUCGCUCGGCUUGGGCGCGCGCGGACGGCGGAACGGCGGCGGGCGCACGAGCGCGGUGCGGCGGUGCGGCGGUGCGGCGGCGGGACGAGCGGCAACGGUCUCGGUGAGCUGGAGUUU
rnacentral:lncRNA from 1 species